ACUUAAUCCAAUAAAAAAAACCUCUCCAUAAACAAAUCUAUGAAACAUUGAAACCUUGAACCAUUUUGAAGAGGCAAGAGAAACCCAAAACCUUUCUCUAUUACUGAGCUUUGAAGAGGCACAGACUGUAUUUGGAAUCGAGAGAUUGAGGCGAAGCAAAGAUUGACAUGUGUAAUGGCAACAACAAUUACAAGAUGGAGUUAAUUUUCACCAGAGAGCUCAUAGUAGAUGUCCUACUGGAUUCAAGUGCCCUAACAAUUUGUGAGUUGUUAUUCCUCUGUAGCAAGCAAAUGAAACAACUUAGGGUCUGUUUGAUUGACGGAAUUGAUUUUCCGGAAAAUUAUUUUCAACUUUUCCAGCGUUUGAUUGGCGGAAAACAUUUUUCAUUUGGAAAAUGAACUCCAAAACAAGGGAAAAUGGGUUAUAUUUUAGGGAAAAUGUCUUACCCUUUCAAUUUCCGUAAGACAUUUUCCGUGCUCUCCUCUCUAUCGCCUCCUUCAUUCCUUCCUUCAUUUUCGGUAGAAAACUGCUUCUGUUUAUUGAUUUUCCAAUAACUUGUUUUUUUAAUUAUUCAAUACUUGUUUUUUUAACACAAUUACAAAUAAUUUAUUUGAUAUUAGUUUUUUUCAAUUUAUAACGAUUAAUAUUGUAGCUUAAUA